rnacentral:tRNA from 1 species
GGAUUGUGGCUCAAUGGUAGAGCGCUCGCCUAGCACAUGCGAGGCCCUGGGUUCAAUCCUAGGCACCA